UGGGGAAUAUUGGACAAUGGGCGAAAGCCUGAUCCAGCAAUGCCGCGUGAGUGAUGAAGGCCUUAGGGUUGUAAAGCUCUUUUACUGGGGAUGAUAAUGACAGUACCCAGAGAAUAAGCCCCGGCUAACUCCGUGCCAGCAGCCGCGGUAAUACGGAGGGGGCUAGCGUUGUUCGGAAAUACUGGGCGUAAAGCGCACGUAGGCGGCGCCGCAAGUCAGGGGUGAAAUCCCGGGGCUCAACCCCGGAACUGCCUCUGAAACUGCAGUGCUAGAAUCUUGGAGAGGUCAGUGGAAUUCCGAGUGUAGAGGUGAAAUUCGUAGAUAUUCGGAAGAACACCAGUGGCGAAGGCGACUGACUGGACAAGUAUUGACGCUGAGGUGCGAAAGCGUGGGGAGCAAA
rnacentral:rRNA from 1 species